rnacentral:rRNA from 1 species
GAUGAACGCUGGCGGCGUGCCUAAUACAUGCAAGUCGAGCGAACAGACCAGGAGCUUGCUCCUCUGACGUUAGCGGCGGACGGGUGAGUAACACGUGGAUAACCUACCUAUAAGACUGGGAUAACUUCGGGAAACCUGAGCUAAUACCGGAUAAUAUAUUGAACCGCAUGGUUCAAUAGUGAAAGACGGUUUUGCUGUCACUUAUAGAUGGAUCCGCGCCGCAUUAGCUAGUUGGUAAGGUAACGGCUUACCAAGGCGGCGAUGCGUAGCCGACCUGAGAGGGUGGUCGGCCAGACUGGAACUGAGACAGGGUCCAGACUCCUACGGGAGGCAGCAGUAGGGAAUCUUACGCGAUGGGCGAAAGCCUGACGGAGCAACGCCGCGUGAGUGAUGAAGGUCUUCGGAUCGUAAAACUCUGUUAUUAGGAAAGAACAAAUGUGUAAGUAACUAUGCACGUCUUGACGGUACCUAAUCAGAAAGCCACGGCUAACUACGUG